UGGGCCGUCGUGGCUUCAUGAUCUUAACUCUUACGCUGAGUGUGUGGGGGAGAGAUGACAGCACUUUAUACCAUGGAUGUCAAAACUUUGGUGUCUUGCAACUCCAGGACACGCGAUGAGAUAAAAGUCGGCGCCUCAGAGACGACCACCGGCAGACUGGUAGCUGUUCCGUGACAAAGCUGCUUGCCCAGGAGGGCGUCCCCUGCGUGGGACGCGCUGCUGGAGUCCUACACAAGAUGUCCUCGUGUGGCAACAGGGCCAUCAAGAAAGGACCCUGGGGCAGCACCCUAGAGGUUUUCAGAGCGGCUGUGAGGCUUUCAGGGCAGUUGACUUCCAACGUGCACAGGCGACUUCGGCAGGCCCCAGUGUGUUCCGGAACGCCCGUCUUAGGAAACUUACUAAAUCAAGUUGACUGGAGAUCUCGAGGUGCAGGUUCAUUCCAGGAAGACAGGGCUGCUUGUCACGCUGCCCGCCUGCCGCGUUCCUGCUCUCAGCAUACACAUGGGGUGGGGGCGUCACCCUCCAAAAUAGAAAAGGUGCUAAAAGAUGGUAAUUGGGGAGCGGGUCAUCUUUAGGGGAAAUGACUGCCUUUUAAUCUUCUGAGUGGAGGUGGCAGCAAGUUACUGGAAAUGGCAGAUGGAGGUCUGUUGGGGCCUCCCUGGGGGUCGCCAGCAGGCUGCCCAGGGGUGAUGCUGUCAUCAGUUUGGGGAGAAGCUUUUUGCUCCAGGAAAGAGAGAAAGGCAGGGAUGGGCAGGGGAGAGAGAGAGAAAGAGAGGGAGAUGUGUUUCUCUUUGAUGUCGUUCAGGCGGAAAGCCAAUCUGCACAUGUAAAUGAACUUGAAAAUGCAAUUAAAAAUAUAUACAUAUCAGAGCCUGUGAUCCAG